rnacentral:rRNA from 1 species
GAUUAACGCUGGCGGCGUGCGUAACACAUGCAAGUCGAACGGUAUUUUGAAAGGAAAAGACUACGGUCUUGGAAAGACAAAAGAGAGUGGCGAACGGGUGAGUAACGCGUGAGCAACCUGCCUUCCACAAAGGGAUAGCUGCCGGAAACGGUAAUUAAUACCGUAUGAAGUUAACGAAUCGCAUGAUAAGGGAACUAAAGAGAAAUCGGUGGAAGAUGGGCUCGCGUCCGAUUAGCUGGUUGGAGAGAUAACAGCUCACCAAGGCGAUGAUCGGUAGCCGGCUUGAGAGAGUGAACGGCCACACUGGAACUGAGAGACGGUCCAGACUCCUACGGGAGGCAGCAGUGGGGAAUUUUGCACAAUGGGGGGAACCCUGAUGCAGCGACGCCGCGUGAGCGAAGAAGGAAUUCGUUUCGUAAAGCUCUGUCCUANGGAAAGAUAANGACG